rnacentral:lncRNA from 1 species
GUGGGCCACAAACUAUGAGGGAACAUGAGAGAGAGAUAUGCAAGCUGUGGGCUUUUGAGCUUUUAUUACAAAAAGAAGAACAUGAUCCCAGCCCAGUUCUCCAACUAAAGUCACCAACUCAAAGUCUGACUUGGUCAGGGCUUCUCUGGCUGGGGACUGGGCUGGUAGACAGGUGCAGGGCUCCGCUCAGAUCACCCAACACUUCAUCCUCCCCAGUCCCGGGCUGGACACCCCACAUAUAUAGAAGUAGCUCUCGCAGCUGCUCACUGGGCCUCGUUGAAGCGGGUCACCAUUGUCUUGUGCAGUGUCUCCUUGUAGGACUCAGUGGAGGUGACCCCAUAGGAGCUCCCUCGGGCACCCAAGCCAGAGCCCCGCACCCGUGUCUGGGCCUGUAUAACGGAGGCAGGCUCUGUCAGGUAAGCCAGGUGAUGGGGGCGAGGCAGGGCUAAGUGGGGAGGACAGGAGAAUGGGGAAGGGAUCAUGGGAGACUCACUUCAAUGGGUGUCACAAUGCCCUGCUUCUUGCGGCCCAGGCCGCUGCCCUCUUUCCAGCCCAUGGCCUGGAGCAUGCGACUGCCAAUGUUGUCACUGCCCAGCCCAUCCCGUGUGGGCUGCUCAAAGUCCCUGCAGGGGGCAGUGGUACAGCAUGAGUGACCAGCCUGCCAGCCCUGGGCCCCCUCACCUGGCCCUGGGAACUCACACGGAGGCCGCAGACAUGCCACCAUACUUCCUCCUCUUGGGCUCUGGCGGCUCAGGGAUGCCAUACUUCUCUCUGCGUUCAGCUGCACGGUCCCGGACCCCCACGUUCCUGCUCCUCCUCACUGUCGCUCUCCCCACUGUAGGCUGCCACGAGGCCCCGGGGUGGGCUCUGUAGAAAUGAUGGAUGGCGUAGCCGGCAUCUGCGGUGGCGGACUCUCGCCUUUCAUCGUCUCGCAGGGAGCUGAUGGGCUGGAAGCUGUUUUUGAAGUUUUCUUUUUGCUUGUUGAGGCUGCGGGCCCAGCGUUCCA